GGGUUGUGAGGUUAAGCGACUAAGCGUACACGGUGGAUGCCCUGGCAGUCAGAGGCGAUGAAGGACGUGCUAAUCUGCGAUAAGCGUCGGUAAGGUGAUAUGAACCGUUAUAACCGGCGAUUUCCGAAUGGGGAAACCCAGUGUGAUUCGUCACACUAUCAUUAACUGAAUCCAUAGGUUAAUGAGGCGAACCGGGGGAACUGAAACAUCUAAGUACCCCGAGGAAAAGAAAUCAACCGAGAUUCCCCCAGUAGCGGCGAGCGAACGGGGAGCAGCCCAGAGCCUGAAUCAGUGUGUGUGUUAGUGGAAGCGUCUGGAAAGGCGCGCGAUACAGGGUGACAGCCCCGUACACAAAAAUGCACAUGCUGUGAGCUCGAUGAGUAGGGCGGGACACGUGGUAUCCUGUCUGAAUAUGGGGGGACCAUCCUCCAAGGCUAAAUACUCCUGACUGACCGAUAGUGAACCAGUACCGUGAGGGAAAGGCGAAAAGAACCCCGGCGAGGGGAGUGAAAAAGAACCUGAAACCGUGUACGUACAAGCAGUGGGAGCCUCUUUAUGGGGUGACUGCGUACCUUUUGUAUAAUGGGUCAGCGACUUAUAUUCUGUAGCAAGGUUAACCGAAUAGGGGAGCCGAAGGGAAACCGAGUCUUAACUGGGCGUUAAGUUGCAGGGUAUAGACCCGAAACCCGGUGAUCUAGCCAUGGGCAGGUUGAAGGUUGGGUAACACUAACUGGAGGACCGAACCGACUAAUGUUGAAAAAUUAGCGGAUGACUUGUGGCUGGGGGUGAAAGGCCAAUCAAACCGGGAGAUAGCUGGUUCUCCCCGAAAGCUAUUUAGGUAGCGCCUCGUGAAUUCAUCUCCGGGGGUAGAGCACUGUUUCGGCAAGGGGGUCAUCCCGACUUACCAACCCGAUGCAAACUGCGAAUACCGGAGAAUGUUAUCACGGGAGACACACGGCGGGUGCUAACGUCCGUCGUGAAGAGGGAAACAACCCAGACCGCCAGCUAAGGUCCCAAAGUCAUGGUUAAGUGGGAAACGAUGUGGGAAGGCCCAGACAGCCAGGAUGUUGGCUUAGAAGCAGCCAUCAUUUAAAGAAAGCGUAAUAGCUCACUGGUCGAGUCGGCCUGCGCGGAAGAUGUAACGGGGCUAAACCAUGCACCGAAGCUGCGGCAGCGACACUUAUGUGUUGUUGGGUAGGGGAGCGUUCUGUAAGCCUGCGAAGGUGUACUGUGAGGUAUGCUGGAGGUAUCAGAAGUGCGAAUGCUGACAUAAGUAACGAUAAAGCGGGUGAAAAGCCCGCUCGCCGGAAGACCAAGGGUUCCUGUCCAACGUUAAUCGGGGCAGGGUGAGUCGACCCCUAAGGCGAGGCCGAAAGGCGUAGUCGAUGGGAAACAGGUUAAUAUUCCUGUACUUGGUGUUACUGCGAAGGGGGGACGGAGAAGGCUAUGUUGGCCGGGCGACGGUUGUCCCGGUUUAAGCGUGUAGGCUGGUUUUCCAGGCAAAUCCGGAAAAUCAAGGCUGAGGCGUGAUGACGAGGCACUACGGUGCUGAAGCAACAAAUGCCCUGCUUCCAGGAAAAGCCUCUAAGCAUCAGGUAACAUCAAAUCGUACCCCAAACCGACACAGGUGGUCAGGUAGAGAAUACCAAGGCGCUUGAGAGAACUCGGGUGAAGGAACUAGGCAAAAUGGUGCCGUAACUUCGGGAGAAGGCACGCUGAUAUGUAGGUGAAGUCCCUUGCGGAUGGAGCUGAAAUCAGUCGAAGAUACCAGCUGGCUGCAACUGUUUAUUAAAAACACAGCACUGUGCAAACACGAAAGUGGACGUAUACGGUGUGACGCCUGCCCGGUGCCGGAAGGUUAAUUGAUGGGGUUAGCGGUAACGCGAAGCUCUUGAUCGAAGCCCCGGUAAACGGCGGCCGUAACUAUAACGGUCCUAAGGUAGCGAAAUUCCUUGUCGGGUAAGUUCCGACCUGCACGAAUGGCGUAAUGAUGGCCAGGCUGUCUCCACCCGAGACUCAGUGAAAUUGAACUCGCUGUGAAGAUGCAGUGUACCCGCGGCAAGACGGAAAGACCCCGUGAACCUUUACUAUAGCUUGACACUGAACAUUGAGCCUUGAUGUGUAGGAUAGGUGGGAGGCUUUGAAGUGUGGACGCCAGUCUGCAUGGAGCCGACCUUGAAAUACCACCCUUUAAUGUUUGAUGUUCUAACGUUGGCCCCUAAUCGGGGUUGCGGACAGUGUCUGGUGGGUAGUUUGACUGGGGCGGUCUCCUCCUAAAGAGUAACGGAGGAGCACGAAGGUUGGCUAAUCCUGGUCGGACAUCAGGAGGUUAGUGCAAUGGCAUAAGCCAGCUUGACUGCGAGCGUGACGGCGCGAGCAGGUGCGAAAGCAGGUCAUAGUGAUCCGGUGGUUCUGAAUGGAAGGGCCAUCGCUCAACGGAUAAAAGGUACUCCGGGGAUAACAGGCUGAUACCGCCCAAGAGUUCAUAUCGACGGCGGUGUUUGGCACCUCGAUGUCGGCUCAUCACAUCCUGGGGCUGAAGUAGGUCCCAAGGGUAUGGCUGUUCGCCAUUUAAAGUGGUACGCGAGCUGGGUUUAGAACGUCGUGAGACAGUUCGGUCCCUAUCUGCCGUGGGCGCUGGAGAACUGAGGGGGGCUGCUCCUAGUACGAGAGGACCGGAGUGGACGCAUCACUGGUGUUCGGGUUGUCAUGCCAAUGGCACUGCCCGGUAGCUAAAUGCGGAAGAGAUAAGUGCUGAAAGCAUCUAAGCACGAAACUUGCCCCGAGAUGAGUUCUCCCUGACUCCCUGAGAGUCCUGAAGGAACGUUGAAGACGACGACGUUGAUAGGCCGGGUGUGUAAGCGCAGCGAUGCGUUGAGCUAACCGGUACUAAUGAACCGUGAGGCUUAACCUUACAACGCCGAAG
rnacentral:rRNA from 1 species